rnacentral:rRNA from 1 species
GACGUAGGGAGCGAGCGUUGUCCGGAUUCAUUGGGCGUAAAGAGCGCGCAGGCGGUUUGGUAAGUCGGAUGUGAAAACCCGGGGCUCAACCCCGGGCGUGCAUCUCGAUACUGCCCGACUAGAGGUAGGUAGGGGAGAUCGGAAUUCCUGGUGUAGCGGUGAAAUGCGCAGAUAUCAGGAAGAACACCCGUGGCGAAGGCGGUUCUCUGGAACGCAACUGACGCUGAGACGCGAAAGCGUGGGGAGCAAACAGG